rnacentral:rRNA from 1 species
UCAAGCGUUUAAGGGCGUCUGGUGAAUGCCUUGGCACUGAAAGUCGAUGAAGGACGUGAUAUACUGCGAUAAGUUUCGGGGAGUUGUAUGUAAACUUUGAUCCGAAAAUUUCCGAAUGGGAAAACCCAACUCUUUAAGAGUUAUUUCAAACUGAAUACAUAGGUUUGAAAAGGCAACCUAGGGAACUGAAACAUCUAAGUACCUAGAGGAAAAGAAAUCAAUUGAGAUUCCGUCAGUAGUGGCGAGCGAACGCGGAACAGGCCUGUAGUUUUAUUUGUACAACUAGAAAAAUCUGGAAAGAUUUGCCAUAGAGGGUGAUAGCCCCGUAAAGGUAAAAGCAAAUAAGAUUCUUGAGUAAAGCGGGACACGAGAAAUCCUGCUUGAAGAUAGGGGGACCACCCUCUAAGCCUAAAUACUCUUCAGUGACCGAUAGUGAACUAGUACCGUGAGGGAAAGGUGAAAAGAACCCCUAUUAGGGGAGUGAAAUAGAACCUGAAACCGGAUGCCUACAAUCAGUCGGAGCUCUAUAUGAGUGACGACGUACCUUUUGUAUAAUGGGUCAGUGACUUUAUCUGUGCAGCAAGCUUAAGCCGAAAAGGUGUAGGCGUAGCGAAAGCGAGUCUGAAUAGGGCGAUGAGUUGUACGGAUAAGAACCCGAAACCUAGUGAUCUAGUUAUGAGCAGGUUGAAGGUAAGGUAACACUUACUGGAGGACCGAACCGGUGCCUGUUGAAAAAGGCUCGGAUGACUUGUGAUUAGGGGUGAAAGGCCAAUCAAACUGGGAGAUAGCUGGUUUUCCGCGAAAACUAUUUAGGUAGUGCGUUGAAUAAUAAGAUCUUGAGGGGUAGAGCACUAAAUAGGCUAGGGGGAAGAAAUUCUUACUAAACCUAAUAAAACUCCGAAUACUCAAGAUUGUUUCUCAAUAGACAGACGGUGGGAGCUAACUUCCAUCGUCGAGAGGGAAAAAACCCAGACCACCAUCUAAGGUCCCAAAAUCGUAGUUAAGUGUGAAAGGAUGUGAAGACUCCAAAACAGCCGGGAGGUUGGCUUAGAAGCAGCCAUCCUUUAAAGAAAGCGUAACAGCUCACCGGUCUAAUUAAGAGACUUUGCGCCGAAGAUGUAACGGGGCUCAAACUACGUACCGAAGUUGUGGAUUUAAAGUGUCUACGGACAUUUUAUCUGGUAGCGGAACGUUCUGUAAGUCUGCGAAGGGAUACCCGCGAGGGGUCCUGGAGAUAUCAGAAGUGCGAAUGCUGACAUAAGUAGCGACAAACAGAGUGAAAGACUCUGUCGCCGAAAAUACAAGGGUUCCUGCGUAAAGUUAAUCUUCGCAGGGUUAGUCGGCCCCUAAGGCGAGGGCGAAAGCCGUAGUCGAUGGGAACAAGGUAAAUAUUCCUUGACCUGAUGGUAGUGACGGAUCUCGUAUAUUGUAAGUUCUUAUUGGAUUGAACUUGCCUUGAAGAGGUCCCAGGAAAUAACUCCAUCAUUAAGACCGUACCCUAAACGGACACACGUGUAUUGGUAGAGAAUACCUAGGCGCUUGAGAGAAUGAUGUUGAAGGAACUCGGCAACUUGCCUCUGUAACUUCGGGAUAAAGAGGGCCUUAUUUUGCGCAAGCAGAGUAAGGUGGCACAAGCCAGGGAGUAGCGACUGUUUAACAAAAACACAGGACUCUGCUAACACGUAAGUGGAUGUAUAGGGUCUGACGCCUGCCCGGUGCCGGAAGGUUAAAGCAAGAUGUGCAAGCAUCGAACUGAAGCCCCGGUGAACGGCGGCCGUAACUAUAACGGUCCUAAGGUAGCGAAAUUCCUUGUCGGGUAAGUUCCG